CUUCAAAGAGAGCUCAAAAACAAAGAAAUGGUUUAGUUGACUGAACAGAGAUUUCAGCCCAAGAUAACUGAAGCCCUGUCACAGCUUGCUGUGGCCAGUCCAGCUUACUGAACAUAAUGUCUCUAUUCCAGUCUUAGCUAGAACGUUUUUUUUGAAAAAGGUUAGCCCUGAGCUAACAUCUGCCACCAAUCCUCCUCUUUUUUUUUUUUUUGGAAGAUUUUAUUUUUUUUCCUUUUUCUCCCCACAGCCCCCCGGUACAUAGUUGUAUAUUCUUAGUUGUGGGUCCUUCUAGUUGUGGCAUGUGGGACACUGCCUCAGCAUGGCUUGAUGAACAGUGCCAUGUCUGCACCCAGGAUUCGAACUGACAAAACACUGGGCCGCCUGCGGUGGAACGCACGAACUUAACCACUAGGCCACGGGGCCAGCCCCCAAUCCUCCUCUUUUUGCUGAGGAAGACUGGCCCUGAGCUAACAUCUGUGCCCAUCUUCCUCUACUUUAUAUGUGUGACGCCUGCCACAGCAUGGCUCUACAAGUAGUGCGUAGGUCCGCACCCAGGAUCCAAACCAGCCAAUCCUGGGCUGCAGAAGUAGAACAUGCACACUUAACUGCUGCGCCACCAGGCUGGCCCCUAGAACCUUUUCUUGUUUGGAUGUUUGACCAACUACUGAUGCUCUCUGGUUGUUAUUUAAGCCAAAUUAUUCUUUUGACUCAGCAAAUGUUAACAUGGGAAGGCGCCUAGUCUUAACUGCUCAGGGAUCUGGUCCUAGCAUUCGGAAAGGAAGAGAAGAGCCUAAAAGUUAUUUUUAUCCUCUUCCUAGCUAACUUUUGUAAAUUGCAAUCCAAUAGAUUACACCAGGAAGAGACAGGAGGGGCACUCAUUUGUGGAAGCUGCCCCCCUGCCUUGCUCCCUCUCCCUUUUGCUGAACUGUUUUAAAGCCAAUUCUGGACCCUGUACAUCUGCUCGUGUGCAUCUCUGAAGCAUCUGCACGUCUUACUCCGACACCCUACGGUCCGUAUUCCACCAUCGACCGUGAUUCCUGAGGGCAUCUUGUGAACUUUGGUCUGGGUAAUGGGGAGACACAGAGGACUUUGCAGGGCAGGGGUGUGUGUGUGCAACCGAGUUGUGUCCGUGUGUGGGAUGGUUUGGGCAUGGGGGAGGUUAGAGCAGGCAGGCCAAUUAUGAACACCCUCGGUCUAGGUGCCAGGUGGUGGGGUCUGAUGCUUGGCGGUUGCAGCAGGAUGGAGAAGAAGAGGAAGAUGAGCUGGAGAACCUCUGUGGGGGCCCACUGACUAG
rnacentral:lncRNA from 1 species